rnacentral:misc_RNA from 1 species
GUGAAUCAUCGAAUCUUUGAACGCACAUUGCGCCCCUUGGUAUUCCAUGGGGCAUGCCUGUUCGAGCGUCAUUUGUACCUUCAAGCUCUGCUUGGUGUUGGGUGUUUGUCUCGCCUUUGCGUGUAGACUCGCCUCAAAACGAUUGGCAGCCGGCGUAUUGAUUUCGGAGCGCAGUACAUCUCGCGCUUUGCACUCAUAACGACGACGUCCAAAAAGUACAUUUUUACACUCUUGACCUCGGAUCAGGUAGGGAUACCCGCUGAACUUAAGCAUAUCAAUAAGCGGAGGA